CUUCUAAUGUGUCCUAAUAACUUUCAUGAACUUACUCCCUUGUCAUGUAUGGGUAUAGGAUUUGGUGUACAUGUUGAGUUUUGUUCAACUUCGUAAGCUCACAAGUGAAUUAAACAGGGAGAAAAAAAAAUUUUAAGUUUGAUUUAAUGAGAUUACAGUUAAGUAAAGUCUUCAGACUAAUUUACUCAUAGAUAAUAUAGAUUUUUGUUAUUGUGACCUUGAAGUUGUGGGUUUUAUUUUCACAGAUCUAGCUUUUUUUGAUGAGAUUGUAUAUUUAUUUUAGAUGCAAAUAGUUUAAUUACUUUUUAAAAAAUCUAUACCAUUUAUACUAAUUGUUGGCUGAAGUAAGUUAUUGCUAAAUAAUUAAAAUAUCUUAAUUGGAUUUGAGGUUUUAAUAAAAGUUUUAACAAUAAUUUCAAAAUGUCUUAUGUUUAA